rnacentral:rRNA from 1 species
CCCCCUCGAGAUGAGAUUUCCCAUCACGUAAGUGAGUAAGACCCCUGAGAGAUGAUCAGGUAGAUAGGUUGGAAGUGGAAGUACAGCGAUGUAUGGAGCGGACCAAUACUAAUCGGUCGAGGACUUAACCAA